UGAGGAAUAUUGGUCAAUGGGCGAGAGCCUGAACCAGCCAAGUCGCGUGAGGGAAGACGGUCCUACGGAUUGUAAACCUCUUUUGUCGGGGAGCAAUAAAGCGUACGCGUACGCAGAUGCGAGUACCCGAAGAAAAGCAUCGGCUAACUCCGUGCCAGCAGCCGCGGUAAUACGGAGGAUGCGAGCGUUAUCCGGAUUUAUUGGGUUUAAAGGGUGCGCAGGCGGAAAGUGCAAGUCAGCGGUCAAACGACGGGGCUCAACCCCGUCUCGCCGUUGAAACUGUCUUUCUAGAGUGAGCGAGAAGUAUGCGGAAUGCGUGGUGUAGCGGCGAAAUGCAUAGAUAUCACGCAGAACUCCGAUUGCGAAGGCAGCAUACCGGCGCUCAACUGACGCUCAUGCACGAAAGCGUGGGUAUCGAACAGGAUUAGAUACC
rnacentral:rRNA from 1 species